AUUGAACGCUGGCGGCAUGCCUUACACAUGCAAGUCGAACGGCAGCACGGGAGCAAUCCUGGUGGCGAGUGGCGAACGGGUGAGUAAUAUAUCGGAACGUGCCCAGUCGUGGGGGAUAACGUAGCGAAAGCUACGCUAAUACCGCAUACGAUCUACGGAUGAAAGCGGGGGAUCGCAAGACCUCGCGCGAUUGGAGCGGCCGAUAUCAGAUUAGCUAGUUGGUGGGGUAAAAGCUCACCAAGGCGACGAUCUGUAGCUGGUCUGAGAGGACGACCAGCCACACUGGAACUGAGACACGGUCCAGACUCCUACGGGAGGCAGCAGUGGGGAAUUUUGGACAAUGGGCGCAAGCCUGAUCCAGCAAUGCCGCGUGCAGGAUGAAGGCCUUCGGGUUGUAAACUGCUUUUGUACGGAACGAAACGAUGAGCUCUAAUAAAGCUUGCUAAUGACGGUACCGUAAGAAUAAGCACCGGCUAACUACGUG
rnacentral:rRNA from 1 species